rnacentral:rRNA from 1 species
AAAGCGUGCGCAGGCGGUUAUGUAAGACAGAUGUGAAAUCCCCGGGCUCAACCUGGGAACUGCAUUUGUGACUGCAUGGCUAGAGUACGGUAGAGGGUGAUGGAAUUCCGCGUGUAGCAGUGAAAUGCGUAGAUAUGCGGAGGAACACCGAUGGCGAAGGCAAUCCCCUGGACCUGUACUGACGCUCAUGCACGAAAGCGUGGGGAGCAAACAGGAUUAGAUACCCCAGU